ACUAUCCCCCGAGCCGCCGGGAUGUGCUGGCCGCCCUUGCGCUCGGAGAAAAGUAUCCUGAUGACUACAUGCGGCCAAUGGGCACUCUCAGAUGACCAAUCUACAUUUCUUCUAAGACAUUGGACUACACACAGUACAGGACUCUGGGAGACAGGAUCACAAAUGAGAGGGAACAACUUCUAAACUGAAUGAGGAAGCGAAGCUAAUUCUCA